rnacentral:rRNA from 1 species
GAUGAACGCUGACAGAAUGCUUAACACAUGCAAGUCAACUUGAACUUCGGUUUGGGUGGCGGACGGGUGAGUAACGCGUAAAGAACUUGCCUCACAGAUAGGGACAACAUUUGGAAACGAAUGCUAAUACCUGAUAUUAUGAUUUUAGGGCAUCCUAGGAUUAUGAAAGCUAUAUGCGCUGUGAGAGAGCUUUGCGUCCCAUUAGCUAGUUGGAGAGGUAACGGCUCACCAAGGCGAUGAUGGGUAGCCGGCCUGAGAGGGUGAUCGGCCACAAGGGGACUGAGACACGGCCCUUACUCCUACGGGAGGCAGCAGUGGGGAAUAUUGGACAAUGGACCAAAAGUCUGAUCCAGCAAUUCUGUGUGCACGAUGAAGUUUUUCGGAAUGUAAAGUGCUUUCAGUUGGGAAGAAAAAAAUGACGGUACCAACAGAAGAAGUGACGGCUAAAUACGUG